GCAGGAUCGAUGAUGUCAUUAAUUUCUGCGUUAUCUGUCUGUAGCUUCCCCUCAUGGGAGUGAAGAUAAUCGAUACAUGCUGAGAUCCC